UAAUAACCCCGUUAAGGGCUUACAAGGCUUUUCCCUUUGUGUAAGUUGAUAGCCAGUCCUCUCCAACAGGGGUCCGGUAUCGGUUGGAUUCGAACGCACGCCGUCGAGUGUGUCGCGUAUUGUCUAGCUAUACCAUGCUCAAGUGCCGGUUCUUUUACGCACCAGAAUCACUCUCUAUAAGAUAUGAAAUAAGUGUUUCAGCGAACAGUACACAGUUUUUUCAACAGCUGUUUUGAACCGUAUUCCUUAAUUGAACAAUAUAAAUAUGUAUUGCGUUCGAAAGGGGUGUCUUCGAAGUGCUGCGCGGUAAGCAAAUAGUUUACAUAACUCAUCCAUCAAAAUGGCGACAUA